rnacentral:tRNA from 1 species
GGCGGCGUAGCUCAGUUGGUUAGAGCAUACGGUUCAUACCCGUAAUGUCGGUGGUUCGAAUCCACCCGCCGCUACCA